GAUGAACGCUGGCGGCGUGCCUAAUACAUGCAAGUCGAGCGAACAGACGAAGAUUUUGCGCUUCUGUAGUUAGCAACGGAUGAGUGAGUCACAAGUGGAUAACCCUUCAAUCUGACUGGAAUCACUUCGAGAAACCGUAGUUACGAACAGAUAAUAUAUCCAACCGCAUGGUGCAGUAGAGAAAGACGGUUUUUCUGUCACCUCUCGAUGGAUCAGCGUCGCAUUAGCUUGUUGGGAAGGUAACGCGUUACCAAGGAAACGAAGGGUAGCCGACCUGAGAGAGUGAUCGGCCACACUGGAACUGGGACAGGGUCCAGACUACUACGGGAGGCAGCAGUAGGGAAUCUUCCGCAGUAGGCGGAAGCCUGGCGGAGCAACGCCGCGUGAGUGAUGAAGGUCUUCGGAUCGUAAUACUCUGUUAUUAGGGAAGAACAAAUUUGAAUGGGGCUAUGCACGUCUUGACGGUACCUGAUCAGAAAGCCACGGCUAACUACGUG
rnacentral:rRNA from 1 species